CAUGGACCAUUUUUCCAAACAUCUCAGCAUCAUCUGGACAGCACAGAAGAUAUCUCACCUCCUUUGCCGCUCAAUAGACCAGGGAGCCACUGGGCCUAUUUGGCUGAGCCCUGCUCUUGGAGAAAGAGGCAACUUCCAUUUUGCUGCUUUUGGGUCUGAUUUUUGAGUCCCAACUGGAAAAUCACAACUGUGGAAUCAUUCAGAGCUGAAAUUAGCUAUGGGGUAUUGAACAUUGAAGUAGAAGAGGGAGAUGGAAAACUAGAAGAGCAGCUGCUUGAAAAUUGCACCAAAGGCCUCUUCCCAAAGAGAAAUAUGCAGGACUUCUUUGGUUUAAGGUCACUCAUCAGCAAGACCCCCAGCUGGGAUGAAGAAACGAGAGGCCAAGGCUUCUGGCAUCCUGCUGCAAUGUGACAUAAAGAGGAGAUGCCACAAGCAGGAAAUCCUCGUCUCAGAGGAAGGAGCUGGUUUUACUGAGGCAGGUGCCCCUAGGAGCUUGAAGGGCUACUGGAAGCAAGCGAAGGCUACCCUGCCUCAAGGAGAUGAAGGCUCAUGGUGAAAUGUGAUGUUCUAUGGUCUGGAAGCAGUCAGUAAGAGCUUCACCUCCUCUAUCAGCACUUUGGAGACACGGCUGAAGGAUUGGACAAUACCUAUCCGGGAGGUAACAUCUCCAGUGGAAAAGAGGACAGGGCUUUAAAACACCUACAGCUGGCUUCCACACCCCCCUGACCUGCAUUUCAGGUCGGCACCACCAAGAUGCCUGUGUGCCUUGGCUGAUGAGGAUAACUACACGCAAGGCAAGCUAUCUGAACCUGACAGCAAAGACCACGUUUCCCCUUAAUGCACCGUGCUGUGGGAAGUGUUUACUGCUGCUGCUCUUACAGAGCAGAAAACCAGAGCAGCUGGGAUGCAGCAAGCUCACAAUGAGGAAAAGCAGAAAGAAGAAUGACCCCGCGCCACUGUUACAAGCAGCUUCCUGAAAGCAGCUUGCGGCCAGGAAAACUGCUGGAUGAAAUCCCUCAGAGGAGGAGAAAGUCCAGGCUCUCCAGAUUUGUUGUCAUUCCUGAGGGAUGUGACCAAGGACAAGUCUUGGAUUGCUGCGUCUCCCUUGGCAUAGGGGUCGAUGACUCCACCACCUCCCUGCGACAGAGGGACAAAAGGAGAAGGAUGGACAAAUGCCUACCCAACACCUGCGCUCCAGAAGGCAGCUCAGGAAGAGGAUGGAAAAUAGGACAAACCUUGUGCAAGAACACCUGUAUUAGGAUUGAGUUUGCAAGUAAAGUAAAAUAGCAAACGCAGAGCUUAGAGAAGUGUUUUGUUUCUUCCUGGAAACACAAGCAGAGGGGGGGAAGGCCAGCGACAUUCCGGCAGGGCAGCAUUGAGCAGCACGCCUGCGCUGAGUGAGUCGGGACGCGGAGCUGUG
ensembl:lncRNA